UACGUAGGGUGCGAGCGUUGUCCGGAAUUACUGGGCGUAAAGAGCUCGUAGGUGGUUUGUCGCGUUGUUCGUGAAAACUCACAGCUUAACUGUGGGCGUGCGGGCGAUACGGGCAGACUGGAGUACUGCAGGGGAGACUGGAAUUCCUGGUGUAGCUGUGGAAUGCGCAGAUAUCAGGAGGAACACCGGUGGCGAAGGCGGGUCUCUGGGCAGUAACUGACGCUGAGGAGCGAAAGCGUGGGGAGCGAACAGG
rnacentral:rRNA from 1 species